rnacentral:lncRNA from 1 species
AUGGGAUCACAUCAAGUUAAAAACCUUCUGCACAGUAAAGAAAACAACAAAGUGAAGAGAAAACCCACAGAAUGGGAGAAAAUAUUUGCAAACUAUCCAUCUGACAAGGGAUUAAUAACCAUAAUAUAUAAGAAGCUUAAAUAACUCUGUAGGAAAAUAAUCUAAUAAUCUGAUUUAAAAAUGGGCCAAAGAUUUGAAUAGAUAUUUCUCAAAAAAAGACAUACGAAUGGCAAACAGGCAUAUGAAAAGGUGCUCAACAUCACUGAUCAUCAGAGAAAUGCAAAUCAAAACUACAAUGAGAUACUAUCUCACCCCAGUUAAAAUGGCUUAUAUCCAAAAGACAGGCAAUAAUGGUGAGGAUCUGCAGAAAAGGGAACCCUCAAACACUGUUGAUGGGAAUGUAAAUUAAUACAGCCACCAUAGAGAACCAUUUGGAGGUUCCUCAAAAAAGUAAAAAUAGAACUACUAUAUGAUCCAGCAAUCCCACUGCUGAGUGUAUACCCAAAAUAAAUGAAAUCAGUAUAUCGAAGAGAUAUCCACACUCCCAAGUUUGUUGUAGCACUGUUUACAAUAGCUAAGAUUUGGAAACAACCUAAGUAUCCAUCAACAGAUGAAUGGAUAAAAAAAAAAUGUGGUACUUAUACACAAUGGAGUACUAUUUAGCCAUGAUAAAGAAUGAGAUUCUGUCAUUUGCAACAACAUGGUUGGAACUGGAAGUCACUAUGCUAAGUGAAAUAAGCCAGGCACAGGAAUACCCAACAUAAUGGUCCAGUGUGGUGGCUCACGCCUGUAAUCCCAGCACUUUGGGAGGCUGAGGCAGGCAGAUCACGAGGUCAGGAGUUCGAGACCAGCCUGACCAACAUGGUGAAACCCCGUCUCUACUAAAAAUACAAAAAUCAGCUGGGCACGGUGGCAGGCGUCUGUAAUUUCAGCUACUUGGGAGACUGAGGCAGGAGAAUCACUUGCACCUAGAAGGCAGAGGUUGCAGUGAGCCGAGAUCACGCCAUUGCAUGCCAGCCAGGGCAACAGUGUGAGACUCUGUCUCAAAAAAAAAAAAAAA